rnacentral:lncRNA from 1 species
CUAGUUUUACAUCGAGUGACACGUAAGUCCCUCCAUGACGGAGUCCCCAGGCGACUAGGCUAUAGGCCCACUGUGUGUGAAACUACACAAAGAAUCAAACUUUUUUUCUGUCUCCUUUUCUCACUUUCUUACUGUUUCUGCCUGUCUCUCUCCCUCUCCCUCUUUCUCUCGAGCGCGUCCGUGAUUGCGCGUGCACGCUUGGCAGCUCCACGUCGACAUUCUUCCAGCUGCGGAGUCCGGUACACGGGAGAGAGGGAGAGAGAGAGGGGAGAAAGAGACGAAAUCACCUCACCAACACCGUCCGCGGCCUCAGGAAGGACGUCAAGUGCCAAAUUAACGCAGAAAAGCUUCGCUGGCUCUCACAGUCACGGCUGCCAUAUUUGGACACGGCGUUUUUAUUUUUUAUUUCUUGCUUUUUUGCAUUUUCUCUUUCGCCUCGUGCAGCCUGUAACGUGCCGAGUUGCAGAUGUGAGGUCCUGCAGCGAGAAGAUGAGAAGGCCCAUAAUGAAGGAGGUCUAGCGAGAGUCUUCUGUGGCUUUCCAAGUAAAGUUCUGUGAUACACUCUGACUCUUAAUUGUUUGCAGUCAGUGCAUUACAGAACUUUGUUUUGGGAGUUUAAAGCUCUGGCCUGGAGGGAACAAGCAUUACAUCUGGAGGGAGGGAUAACAACCCCCCAUACACACACACACAUUCACACAGACUCACACAUACACACAAGUCCCCCGACAGCACUUAGCUCCAUUCUCUCUCAGUGAUCACACGCAAAUAAAACAUUCAUGAUCAUUGUAAUUGUCUCCCUU